CUCAUCUAGCACCUGCUCCCGCCCUAAUGAGAUGGGGGGAGCACAUUCAGUGAGAGUUUCUCUGCCUGGACACAAUGCAAUUACAUUUGGGGUUGUUUGUCUGUCUCUGUGUGAAGCAUAAGACACCAGAGGUGCAGAAGAGGCUGGAGCAUCCUGAGUAGUCAGGGGUUGUGGCUGCCUGUGUUGUGUGUAUAUUUAUAGUGCAGCCUCCAGGCUUUCAUCUGAAUUGCUGUUGCUGUGUGAGGAAUGAGAGUGGCAAGAGACAUCCAACAAGUGGUCAGAAGGAGGUGGGAUCUGUGAAGCUGUCACACUUGCCUUCUUGGCGAAAAUUUUAGGAAUACUUCAGUGCUUUCUAAGGGCAGAAGUGGUCUCAUGGUGUUUGGAAUGCAGAGGGCUUUGAAGGAAUGCAAAAGUAUCCUCGGCAGCUGUCUUUAUUGUCUGAAGAUCAGCAUGAGUUGCAGAGCGUCCAAGGUGCUGGAGAGCUCUGGCUUUAAACAUGCACACAUAUAUGCAAUUAAAUGCAGGCCUUGACUUUUCACCUGGGAAACUGGAGGGAUAAGGUAGCCAGAGAUCAAAAUGCAAUGUGUCUUGGACAGAGCAUGGAUGAAUAAAAUAAAGACAGCCAGAGUUUUUAUCUAAACACUCUAUUUUUAGUCUUUACCAUCUGAAAGACACUCUGAAAAUGCAGAUAUUUUGGGGAAUUGGCCACUUCUUGGCGUAGACGUGGUGGUGGCUUGUACACAGCAAUGUUAACCAGUAUUGUGGGGCAACAAAAUUUGGAAACUCUCUAUUGA